GCACGGGUGAGUAACACGUGACUAACCUACCCUGGAGGUGGGGGAUAACUGAGGGAAACCUUAGCUAAUACCGCAUAAUACCUACGGGUCAAAGGAGCAAUUCGCUUUGGGAGGGGGUCGCGGCCGAUUAGUUAGUUGGCGGGGUAAUGGCCCACCAAGACAGUGAUCGGUAUCCGGCCUGAGAGGGCGCACGGACACACUGGAACUGAAACACGGUCAAGACUCCUACGGGAGGCAGCAGUGGGGAAUUUUGCGCAAUGGGGGAAACCCUGACGCAGCAACGCCGCGUGGAGGAUGAAGUCCUUCGGGACGUAAACUCCUUUCGAUCGGGACGAUAAUGACGGUACCGGAAGGAAGGAAGCCCCCGGCUAACUUCGUUGCCAGCAGGCGCGGUAAAUACGAGGGGGGCGAGCGUUGUUCCCGGAAUUAUUGGGCGUAAAGGGUGCGUAGGGCGGUUUUGGUAAGGUCUUAUGUGAAAUCUAUGGG
rnacentral:rRNA from 1 species